rnacentral:ribozyme from 14 species
CCAAAGAAUGAAAGAAAGAAAUAAGAAAGAAAUAAGAAA